rnacentral:lncRNA from 10 species
CGCACGGUGGACAUGCCUGGCCCCAGGUACUCCUUUUUUGUUGGUGCGGCUGCAGGCAUCUCCCCAUGAGUAUGUCGUAAAAAGGAAAGGAAUGUGCUCACUAAGGCCCAUUGUGUUUACUGGGAUCCACCGUAUGUAUGUGAAACUUGCCAAUUACCCAGGAAGCUCCACCUCUGUGUCAUAGCUGCUUCCUUAUCUGUGUUUGCAGCCUGAUCUUCCAGGCUGCUCUUUGUUAAAAGAAGUCUUUUAUGAAGAAAUAAUGAUGGCUUGGACCAGGGUGAUGGUGGUAAGGACAUGAGAAAACUGGAUGGUUUUAAAGAUGUCUAUUCUGCUUAAAAGUGCUUUACUCAAUUGUGCUACCCAGGUCAGGCUAUGAGUUUGAUUUAGAAUACGAGUCUAUUCCCAGCAGAGUUAGAGGGCAAAUUGACAAGAACCCAUUUAUUCAACAAUGUGUAUUGAACUGUCACUAUAUUGUGCUGGAUGAUACCAAUUAGGUGACACUACUGGAAUGAAAGCGUAUAUAUUUCUACUGAGUCAGUAACCAUUUUAGUUUGUCUAAGAACCCACCAAUAUUCAGAAAUCAAAACAGAUAUGUUUCUUGUUUUGAGGUUUGUUUAAAGCCAUCAAGAUCAUAAAGAUGAUGAGUUCUCAUACCAAUUUCACAAGGACAACUAGGAACUUAUUUUUGUUGCUUUUUGUUUUUCAUAGUCAAAUUCUUAAGCUUACAUACCAAAAAGGUACUUUCUAAUAUAUUUUUCCCCUGGUCAACAUUUCUUGAGAAAUAUUGUGGCUGGUUUAAUCAAGGUAUUGUUAAAAAAAAGUGGGGGGUUAGAAAGGACAGUUAAAAUGGUAUUAAAUGUACAUAUAAUAUCAAAUCCAGAAGGCUGCUGCUUUCAUAACAAACUAGAUUCAACAGUAUUAAAAAAAAUCUGCUGUGUUUUAGGAAUUUAUCCUGCAGAUACACUUGUACAUGUAUGAAAUAACCAACUUACAAAAAUAGUCCAGCAUCUUUAUAGUAGUAAAAGAUUGAAAAGAAUCUAAAAGUCCAUCAAUAGGAGACUGGCUAAAUAAAGUUUGGUAUAUCCAUUCAACAGAGUACUACAUAACUUUAAAA